ACCAACUAGAGAAAGCUGAAAAUGGUAUGAACACCAACCAAACGGAGUAAUUGAAUCAGAUAAUGUAAAGAUUCUCUGGGAUUUUAACAUACAGUGCGAUCAUGUGAUUGAAUGUCGAAGACCUGAUAUUGUAGUGGUUUUAAAGAAGGAAAAGGAAUGCAAGAUCAUAGACAUCGCAGUUCCAGGGGACUGUAAAAUUGGUAUAAAAGAAACAGAGAAGGUAGAAAAGUAUGAGGAUUUGAAAAGAGAAAUUCGGAAAAUAUGGGCAAUGAAAAAAGUAGAAGUCAUUCCAAUAGUAGUAGGUGCUUUAGGAGCAGUUAGUAAUAAACUGGAUAAGUGGAUUGAGAAAUUGGGAUUACAUAUAAGAAUAGAACUUCUACAAAAAACAGCAUUGUUAGGGACGGCAAGAAUACUGAGAAGAAGCUUGGAAAGCUAAAAUCUUUGGGACCUGAGGCUACUGGUUGUAGCCAGCUUCCAAGGAAAAGACAUAGCCAGCAUAAGAACAAAGCUGUGAAAAACAUGUAAUAAUAAUAAUAAUAAUAAUAA